AACGAACGCUGGUGGCGUGCUUAACACAUGCAAGUCGAACGAGAAAGUUUCCUUCGGGAAAUUAGUAAAGUGGCGCAAGGGUGAGUAUCACGUGAAUAAUCUGCCCUCGAGAUCGGGAUAACAUGGUGAAAACUAUGCUAAUACCGGAUAAGACCACAUUUCAUAAGAAAUGCGGUAAAAGGAGUCUCAAUCUUCACUCGAGGAUGAGUUCGCGCAACAUUAGCUUGUUGGUGAGAUAAAAGCUCACCAAGGCUACGAUGUUUAGCCGGCCUGAGAGGGUGAACGGCCACACUGGAACUGAGACACGGUCCAGACUCCUACGGGAGGCAGCAGUGGGGAAUCUUGCACAAUGGAGGAAACUCUGAUGCAGCGAUGCCGCGUGAGUGAAG
rnacentral:rRNA from 1 species